UAAGGAAUAUUGGUCAAUGGACGCAAGUCUGAACCAGCCAUGCCGCGUGAAGGAUGAAGGUCCUCUGGAUUGUAAACUUCUUUUAUAUGGGACGAAACCUGGGAAUUCCUUCCCAAUUGACGGUACCAUAAGAAUAAGCACCGGCUAACUCCGUGCCAGCAGCCGCGGUAAUACGGAGGGUGCAAGCGUUAUCCGGAUUCACUGGGUUUAAAGGGUGCGUAGGAGGGUAGGUAAGUCAGUGGUGAAAUCUUCGAGCUUAACUCGGAAACUGCCGUUGAUACUAUCUAUCUUGAAUACCGUGGAGGUGAGCGGAAUAUGUCAUGUAGCGGUGAAAUGCUUAGAUAUGACAUAGAACACCAAUUGCGAAGGCAGCUCGCUACACGAAUAUUGACUCUGAGGCACGAAAGCGUGGGGAUCAAACA
rnacentral:rRNA from 1 species